CCCUGCUUUUGUUUUAAUUUGUUUAUUUAUUUAAUCAUUAUUAUUUUAUAUCAUUGUGUGUCCGAUGUACUCAAGUCAUCACUGCACAGUGAGAGGAUGGAGAGAAAGUGGGCAGGUGGAGUAGAGAUGGAAAGGGCACACAAAAGUAAACCCUCUAAGAAGAAGCAGCAAAAUGCUGCAAAGUUACUGACCUGUUCAAGGCUUCAAGUGCAGUAAGGUGGAGAGAGUCACCCUGACACUAGCUCUGUGCAGUGCUCACACUUCAGGAUCAACCUGAGAUGACAGGGAGAGAACAUGAAAACCCGUGGUAGCAUUCAGACACAACUGAGGCCUAGUGUGCGCGCCGCAAGCGAGUCCUCUUCUUCCCCGAAUCCGCGUCGCCGAGCGGUGACCCUGACUUCACCGCACUCAGGCUCGAGCUGCCGGCUUCACUGAGGAAGGACAUCGCCGAUAUUUUUAAAAAGGAGCUCCAGGAGACUUUCAGGGUUGCACUGUCUACUAUCCAGCUUGACCUACAGGCCGUGAAAACACAGCUGUCUAGUGAGGCUACCAUAUCAACACUGAAAGGUACUGUUGGGGAAAUGGAGCACGCUCUCUCCGGUUGCACCGAUGACAUAGCUCACAUGAAGACUACUAUCGAGUCUCUCAUUGCGACUGUGACUCAAUUAGAGAAUAAAUGUGAGGAUUUGGAGUAGAGGUCACGGCGCAAUAACGUUAGGAUGGUCAGAGUUCCAGAGGGCGCUGACACUUGUACAACUGUUGCUGUAGCGGCCUUGUUAAAGGAGGCAUUUGAUCUGGAGAAGGAGCCGGUUUUGGACCGGUCCCACCGGACCCUUCAGCCGAAGCCCAAGCCUGGUGAACGACCACGAGUUAUUGUGUGCAGAUUCCACUAUCACAGUGACUGUGUUGACAUUUUACACCGUGCGAGAGAGAUCCAGAGGAUUAAAGCGAGGGAUUUGACCAUCUCCGUUUUCCCUGACUACACAGCCGAGACGGCCCGGGCCGCGUUUAACGAGGUUCGGCGUCAACUUCCUGGUAUUGAGGGCGCUCGCUAUGGAAUACUUCACCCAGCUCGGCUUCGCAUUACAUAUAACGGUGUUCAGAAGGACUUUAUUUCAGCGGAGGAAGCAGGAGACUAUGUUAAAGCAGGAGACUAUGAUAUCGGGGUGAACCGCAUCACCUACACAGCGGAGUCUUUUUCGCUCUUCUAUUAUUUUUAUUUCUUGCACUCGGCCUUCCAGCUCUACAGAAUUCGGAUUCUUAUUGAAGAUAUUGUCGUUGCAUUACUCAGCCUAGAUUUUGUGAACUUACUCCUCUUAAAUCUACUUCGGUAUUAAUGUGGUUCUCUGUGUUGAGGCUCUGACUGGAUUAGAGUUUCUGUUUAUUUAUUUGUCUUAGUGUUUUUUCCUCAGUUUUACAUGCUACUGUUAUAUUAUGUUACAUGUCUUUAAAAGUUAAGGACAUUGUUAUUGGGCGCAGACUGUUUAUCAGACUAGAAGUCAGUAGGGUUUUUUUCUCUUACUGGAAUUUUUUUGUUUAGGUAAUUAUAUUGGUUAGUUCAGCUUACUCGGAGUUGUUUUCACAUUGUGGACAACUUUUGGUUAUUGUGGGAAACACUGCUGUCUCAUUUGUUUUAUGGAGACUUUAGGUGUGUGUUUGGGAGAUUGUUGGGGGGAGGGGGAGGAGGUCCCACUUUGGCUCUAAUUGGCUAUUUAUAUCCCUAUGGUUUACUUUAUUUAAAUGGUUAGUAGUAAUAUGGAUCCCAGCAUAGCUGGGACAGGCACGCCUUUAAGAUUUAUUAGUUGGAAUGUCAGAGGUAUGGGUAAUCCUGUCAAGAGAUCUAAGGUUUUUACACAUUUGAAACAUUUAAACUCCGAUAUAGUAUUUUUACAGGAGACUCACCUACGUAUUAAAGAUCAUCAAAGGUUAUGAUCCUUCGGUCAUCGGUCAAGGUCCUUCGGUGUUGUCUCUGGUUAUAAAUUAAAUUUGGACAAAAGCGACUGUUUUCCUGUCAAUACUUCAGCAUUUUCUCUCCAACAGGCAGAUCUACCUUUUCGAUUUAGUCAGUCAGGGUAUAAAAUACCUAGGUAUCAACGUGACAUGCUCUUUAUCUAAUCUUUUAUCAGCUAAUUUCACUCCCCUUAUUUAUUCUGCCGCUAGGUAGUGAGUUGAGUAACAAAAUUAAGAAUGCGUGGGAAAUGGAGUUAGGAGUACAGAUAAGUGAAGAGUGUUGGGAAAGUGCUAUAGGUAGGAUACAGUCUACCACUUCUUGUACUCGCCUUGGACUUAUCCAGUUCAAAGUUUUAAAUAGAGUCCAUCUGUCCAAGUCGAGACUUUCUGUAAUAUAUCCGGACAUAGAGGACAAGUGUGAUAAAUGCCAUGGCUCUCCAUGUCAUCUUGGCCAUAUGUUUUUCUUCUUCCCUGAUCUCCAUGGUUUUUGGUCUGUUUUUUUUACCAUCAUGUCCACUAUUCUCUGGGUAGAUUUAAAACCUUGCCCACUGAUUGCUGUAUUUGGGAUUCCUGAUGACUCAGUUUCAUUGAGCUCGAUACAAAAGGAUGUUAUUGCUUUCACAUCCCUUAUAGCAAGACAUUCCCUACUGUUGCAUUGGAAGUCUGUUAAAUACCCAUCUAUCUCCCAGUGGCUAAAGGAUGUGAUGUUUUUUUUUUAAACUCAAGAAAAUAAGGUAUACGAUGAGGGGUUGUACUGACACGUUUUUUGUUUUUUUAAUAAAUGGCAACCCUUUAUUACAUAUUUUAUAAAGUUACAGACACUUCCCUCUGGAAAAUUUUGUGCCUGUUGUUGGGUUUUACAAUAUCUAUAUAACCACUGAUUGUUAUUGGUUAGCCAUGAUGAACCGGGUGGGUUUGUUUUUGGUGUUUGUACUUUUUCAUUUUGUUUUCCUCUGUUAAUAUAAAAAGAAAAAAACUGUGAAUGAUUUUUGCUGUGUCAGUCGGUUUGUUUUUCUUCUCAAUAAAAUAUUUGGGGGGAAAAUAAAAU